rnacentral:rRNA from 1 species
AUUGAACGCUGGCGGCAUGCCUUACACAUGCAAGUCGAACGGCAGCACGGGUGCUUGCACCUGGUGGCGAGUGGCGGACGGGUGAGUAAUACAUCGGCACCUGUCCUGUAGUUGGGGAUAGCCCGGCGAAAGCCGGAUUAAUACCGCAUACGAUCUACGGAUGAAAGCGGGGGACCUUCGGGCUUCGCGCUAUAGGGUUGGCCGAUGGCGGAUUAGCUAGUUGGUGGGGUAAAGGCCUACCAAGGCGACGAUCAGUAGCUGGUCUGAGAGGACGACCAGCCACACUGGGACUGAGACACGGCCCAGACUCCUACGGGAGGCAGCAGUGGGGAAUUUUGGACAAUGGGCGAAAGCCUGAUCCAGCAAUGCCGCGUGUGUGAAGAAGGCCUUCGGGUUGUAAAGCACUUUUGUCCGGAAAGAAAACCUUGGCCCUAAUACGGUCGGGGGAUGACGGUACCGGAAGAAUAAGCACCGGCUAACUACGUG